rnacentral:rRNA from 1 species
AACGAACGCUGGCGGCAUGCCUAACACAUGCAAGUCGAACGAGACCUUCGGGUCUAGUGGCGCACGGGUGCGUAACGCGUGGGAACCUGCCUUUAGGUUCGGGAAUAACUCAGAGAAAUUUGAGCUAAUACCGGAUAAUGUCUUCGGACCAAAGGAUUUAUCGCCUUUAGAUGGGCCCGCGUUGGAUUAGCUAGUUGGUGGGUAAAGCCUACCAAGGCGACGAUCCAUAGCUGGUCUGAGAGGAUGAUCAGCCACACUGGACUGAGACACGGCCCAGAACUCCUACGGAGGCAGCAGUGGGGAAU